AUCAAAACCCUACCCUCUCGUAUCAGCUCCGCACGCCGACUUCACCCUUUUCACUCACAGUGAUGGCGAUUUCCAGACUCUCUCUCUCUCUCUCUCUCUCUCGGUUUCUGAUGUCUGUGACCUCCACGAUGGCGAUUCCCUGCUGUAACAGUGAGUCUCUCUCUCUCUCUCUCUCUCUCUCUCUCUGCAACAGUGAUGGCGAUUUGUUGUUGUUGAUCCGACAAACGCGAUGGUUUGACGAUAGUCUACGGAAAUAUCAAACCCUCCAUCCUCAUCUGCUUGCUGCUCUCGGCGAUUGAGGCUGCCCCUCCCCCCCAUCUCUCUUGCACAAUGGCACAAGCAGCCAACCGCAACUCCCAUGGCGAUGACACGUGUGCUGAGCACCAGAGUUCGUCACGGUCUCUACCUCGAUGAGCCGAAGUUCCCUCCGCGAGCUAGACUGCGCUCAUCCAGCCAGGUCCGCCACACGACAGUUCUAAGGUCAUCUCUCUCUGUGUGUGUUUGUCCGUACGUUUCCCUAAAUUUGAAACCCUAAAGUUUCUCUAAACAUGGGUACUGAAAGUAUUGUUUGAUAUUUUUCUUCUUUUGUGUUCCCUCUAACUUUGAAACCCUAAGAUUGCAUCUUUGUCAGAUUUAGGUUUUAGGAGUUGUGGGUUUGUACGAAAAUCAUAUGAAGUAGUUCACAUUGAGCAAAAUUUUGGCAAAUCUGCAAUCAUGAUGCGAUUCUGGUACAAAGUUUGCUAUUUUGGGCGUAUUGCAAUUUAUUUGGUCUAUUUGGGACAGAUUGGUUGAACAAAGAGUAUGAAAAGUUAUCUGUUUGCUGUUUUAUUUGCAUUACUCUGAUUUUAAGAAUUUUUGCCGUAUGUUUCUUAUUUGGUACAAGUUUUUGUAAACAAUCAAACUAAUCUUAUCUCAACUGCUUAGAUGAAUCAAAUGCUUAAUAAAUCUGAUUUGGAGUGUUCUACGAUUCGGGGAAUAGGUGAUUGCCUCUCUGUUUGUAAUUGUAAUUUGUUUUCUGAAACUGUUUUGAUUUCUCAGUUUGAGUACACAUGUUUUUCGUGUUAGGUGCAGCACUGUAAUGCAAUUGGCACAAAGGCUUGUCCAAUUUGUAUUAACUGACAAAUGCCUUUUUGAUUUAGACUUGUGUUUGUCAAAGAGAAUUUUAUUUUGAAGCUAAUGGCUUUAGUGUUUGGGAUAACUCUGAAUAUGACUUUGGGUUGCGAGUGUUUGUAUAAGAUACGAUAGUUGUAGUGGCUUCUGGUCUCCACUUGUCGGCACACAGGUUGUUUAUUCGGUUAUGCAAUUUUUUUCAUUGCUACCCUUAAUAUUACCAUUGGCACAUUCAAACAAUUGAGGAAAGCGAGAAUCGACAUCAAUUUGAACAUGGAUUCGGACAAACUAAGUCUCUUUAAUAUCUUAGUCGUAACAUCAAUAUAAUAAUGAAGGAAAUUUUUUGAACCAAGACAUGAGGAAGGGCUGAGAUUGAGAGCUACAAAGAGCAAUGGAUGGGAUGGAGUUGACCACCUUCAAUUUUUUGCCGCCCAUCAUCACACAACACAGUUCUAUGGUUUAGUGACAUAGAAAUUAUAAAUUAGAAUCCAAGUUUGAAUCAUCAAACUGGUAUACGUAUGGCUCAACAUUAGAAUGAGGAAAAAGAGUAAUUUCAAAUUUAUUUACCUCAAUGACAAAAAACUAUUGAGCCAUGUGUAUAUGUGAUUAUGGAUUAGUGACUUUUGUAUGUGUGGUUAUUUGAACUAUGAUCCCAUUUUGCUAAAUGCCUUCUAACCUUGGAGUUGCAAUGGUCUGCCGACCACUUACAUCUAGCCUACUAGCCAUAUGAUCUUUGCUUGGUGGCUCCCCUACCUCCGCAAAUAUCCCUUGCCUCCCCCUUGACUCCGUCCCCAUCAGCGGCCUUUCAAAAGCUGGGCUAUAUUUGAGGAGAGAAAAAAUAAACAUUUCGGCAUUUUUUUUUUGUUUUCUUUCUCUGUUUAUCGUAGAAAUUUGCUCUCUUUUCCCCUUUUAUAUUUUUGAAAAGGAACCAAAUUGGUUAGAACUAACAUUAUAAUGCUCUUUUUUAUUUCAUAGGAAGGGCGGUCUUUGAUUUGGUUUUGCAUAAGUGAAUAACUUGAUGGAAUCAAAGAAGAAAUCCUUUUUCUUCUUCGUUAGUCCAUAAUCAGGUAUCUCAAUUGGUAUACGUAUUCUUAAUUUCCUUAGAAUCACCGGAGUUCAUGGAAAGUGGUUUCCAGAGCUUGAAGGGAACUUCUUUUGGAGCAAGAGAAGCUAAAGGAUUGUUAGAAAUGGCAGGGAAGAAAUGCACCAAUAUGGAGAUGCUAAUGGAGGCAAAUGAAGAGGAAUUGAAUUCAAUUUGAAGCAGGGACAAUCUACACUUCAUGUGUGGAAAUUCAAGUGAGGAAAGUUUACUGCAUCAGCAAGGCAGUGCCUACCUUACUUAUUAAUAUCAAGGAUGCUGCAUGUUGUGAAGUUGAAAUUGACGAGGUUUUGCAGAUAUUCAGACAGUUCUUACAAUCUGAAGGCUUUGUGGGGAUUCAUACCCCAAAGUUGAUAGCAGGCUUUAGUGAGGGUGGCUCAGCUGUUCUUACUAUCCAAGGUGAUGGAUAUUGUGGACUGCUUGUUUGUUGCACUGUUUGACAGUUUGAAUGAAAGCUUGAAGCCUUCAAAAAACAAUAUCCAUUUGAGCCUUUAAAGUACUUGAGAAAGACCUUCCGGCUUGCUUUUGAAGAGGGGUCCAAUUGCUAAAGUGCAAGUGGAUAACGUAAGCUUGGGCUGUCCAAUGGGUGAACCGAAUCGUCCCCGCGAACCAAACCAAGGCAACAAAGCUAUGCUCCGCAAUCUUGUCGAACUUGAGGGAACAAGGGGGGAUAACCCCAAUGGGUCAAUUGUUGCAUAAUCGGUCAACUCUAAACCCCCUGUUUUUUUGUUAGUUUAUACUCUCUGUUUUUUGUUCUGGUGUAACGAGGAGGGAGUGGCAACCGCCACAAACUUGUGGUGGUCGUCAGUAUGUUGUAUAUUGCAUGUGGUGGUUGUUCGACCUUAAGUGGCGACCAUCAGUUGUGACGAUUGCCAGUGAUUGUGGCAAUUGUACUUCUUGCGAUCAUCAAUGACUUUGAUGAUCGCCAGAGUCUCUGACGACAAGUGACUCUGCUUUCUGUUUUUCUAACUUGUUUUCCCUUUCCCCCUGCCCAAUAUUAGCUUAUUUUUGUUCUGAUGCAAACCAAAAUACUCAUAGAUUAACUUAGAGAGAGAGUCCCAAAAGGGAUACAAAAGAGACUAGCUCUUGAUAAUAUUUCUUCAAAAUGAUAAAAACUACUAAAUGAAGGACUCCAACACAUAUAUAUAUACAGAUCCUUUAACCACUAAGAGCAUCUGAAUUUCAAAUUUAUUUACCUCAAUGAAAAAAACUUGUUGGCAUACAGGUUGUUUUUUGGGUUACACUUGGAUCUUUUUUUUUCUUGGCGAUAAUACUCUUGAUCCUAGCCAAAAGAUCGCAAACUGAUGGUAUAAAUAAUUUUUUUAGUCAGCGAUACUACACUUGAUCUUAGCCAAAAAGAUCGAACAGAUACUACCCUUGAUCUUUUUUUUUAAUCUUCGAUACUACAUUUGAUCUUAGCAAAAAGAUCGAACAGAUAAUACGUUUGAUCCUUUUUUUUGAUCAUCGAUACUACACGUGACAUUAGACAUUAGCCAAAAGGCCGAGAACAUAUGCUGCACUUGAUCGGAGAUACUACCCUUUAUUUCAGCCAAAAGGCCGAGAACAUAUUCUACCAUUGGAUCUUUUUUUUUUAAUCAGUGAUACUAUACUUGAUCAUAGUCAAAAAGCCGAGAACAGAUACUACACUUGAUUUUUUUUUAAUUGGCGAUACUACAUUUGAUUUUAGCCAAAAGAUCGUGAAUAGUUACUACACUUUAUCCUUCUUUUCAUCGGCGAUACUACACUUUAUCUUAGCCAAAAGACCGAGGCAAUACUAGACUUGAUCUUUUUUUGGAAGGGGAAGAAUGGAGAGAGAAAUGGGCUUAGUUGCACGAAGCGGGAUCGGGUGCGGAAGCGGGGGCGGGAGCGAGGGAAUACAGAAGCUCCGAAGUAGGUUGGGAGCGUGUACAUAUAUUAUAAAAAUAAUGUAGAAUUGAGUAUUCACUUUAAAGUACGAUCAUUUUAGGAAGUAAAAAUAUGGGCCAAGCCCUCCAUAAGUAUAAGAAAUGGGCUAGUGUUACAAUAUAAUAUGAUUUUUUUUUCAAGAUUUCAUGACUUGGGCUAGAUAUAUGAGUUCAUCAAAGACCAAUUAAUAAAGCCAAGUGAUAAAUCUCUAUUUUUCUAUACAAAGAUCAUACAAAAGCUCCCAUCUUUGUAAGGAGCGAGCUUCCGUCAAGCUCCUUAGUUGAGAGUGCAAAAGCGGGCUCCCAAGGUGGCAGCGGCACCACUUUAGGAGCUCCUUGCAGUGAGGAAAUGGGUUUGGAGAGAAGUGGGGAUUUCAGAGGAGAGGGGAAAGUGAAAAAGAAAUGGGAGAAGAGAGAAAAAAUUUACUCCGUAUGUUAAAACUAGUGGGUCCCUUAUCUUGGGGCAAGUUUGAGAGGAGAGAAGGUGGGUCCUUUUGGCUUGCCACGUCAAUGUUUUGGAGCAUGGAUGGGUUUCAUGUUCCGUAGACUUACUGUAUUGCAUUUUAAAUUUACCAUUAAUAUGACAAGAAUUCCACAUCCUUAUCUCAUUUGUUGCAUGAACAUAAUGAACUACACAGCCUAAGACUAUAGCAUUCUUGCUGUCAACUAAAAAAAGGCUUAUUAUUUUUUUUGGUAAGUAAUUGUUUUUUUUUUUUUGUGGCUUUGAGAAGUCUUAUUUCAUUUUUGAAGUGUAUGAGAAAGCAUCCUUGCAUGCUAAUUGACAUAGCUUCCUAUCAUCGGGAUUCUGAUGAACCUAGAAAUGGGUUGUGACGUAGGAUGUUGUGAAUAACACUCUCUUACUAGUUAGAAUGCUGUUAAGUGAGAGACAAUUGUUAAAUGGACUUGUAUGGGCAGGUUGGUGAGUUAUUUGGCUGAAAAUGGUAUAAGAUGAUUUUUAAGGUUUUUGCAAGGAUAGCAAAACGGUUUGAGACUUGAGUGCUACGAUUCAUGGUAAGAAAAGUGAUGCUGGUGACUUUGAGUAGUGAUUUUUGCUGAUGAAAUAGUUGCUCUGUGGAACUGGUUUGGCUAUAGAAGUUCAUAAUAUACCGAAAUUUAUAGACCUUGGAAGCAAAAUAAAGCUUCUGAGCUUCUUAUCCGUAACAUUGGUAUUCAUUUAAUUUGAACCUGAGAAUAUUACAGAAUGUGACUAUUAUGGAAGAACAACAAGCGAAAGAACUGCUUAUAUUAAUAAUUGAGUUGAUUAAAACGUACAUUGCAAAGCUGGGUAUAAAUAACUCUAGGAAUGAUACAACGAUGGUAAACCUAAUCAAGCCUAUUUUGUGCCCUAAAUAGAGAGAUACAGUACGAGAUGGUUAAUGGGUCCAUGCUUUAUCUGUUGAGGUAAACUUACUAAUUAUUUUGUUGAUAAUUCAUUAGGUGAAAGAAGGUGUUUUACCUAUAGUUUCCUUACUCUAGUUGGAAUGUAUUUAAACUUGUUCCUUUUUUUAAUUUUUUAUGUUGUAUUGGGUUUUAGAAAAAAGAUUCAGAAGGGGCAAGUGAAUCUUGUUGAGGGAAUAGUACGUGAAUGUGCUUGGAGUACCAUUUACGAUAAAAAUGGAAUUUUGUCGUGCAUUUCAUUGCUACUUAAAAAGGUGGUGAUGAAUACUUCCUCCAUCCCGCAAAGAUAGUCUACCACGAAAAGAUGUGCAAUUUUAAGAUUAAAAAAACAAAGUACUUAUGUGCAUAAAUUUUUUAUUUUUUAUUUUUUGUAUUUUUUUUGGCAAAACGUAGAGAUUUAAUCUUUAAUUUGGUGUCAUGAAAUUUUAAAAUUAUGUAUAGAAGUACUUUGUUUUUUAUUCAAAAAUUUCACACUAUUUGCUAUGGACUAUCUUUGUGGGUGGAAGGGAGUAGUUUUUUUGCAAUGGUUUAUAAACAGUGGCAGUAAGCUGGAAUUUGUAAGCAAUUUUUGCUUUCUUUGGUCCAUACGUCAAAGAUCAUGUGAUAGUGAUACUUACCUUUGUUGUAGUGGAACAAACUCCAGGAGUCAAUCUUGAAGGGGAGUGAUGUUUGUUACAUCUGUCAUCGCAAACAAGGUGUCUGCAUAAAGGUGAAGAUUGCCACAUGAGUCUCCAUUUUUCUCUUCUUCCUAUCUCUGUAUGGAUUGUGAGUAUAUACUUAGAUUAAGGACACACUGCGAAGUCUUAGAGUAUAUCUCUCCCAUUCGCUUGCGAGGCUUCAAAUUCGUAAGUAUUCUCUUAUUAUGCAGAGCCCUGGCUGGUGGUGCUUAGAUUCUUAUGUUAAAUGCAGAGCCCUGGCUGGUGGUGCUUAGUUUUGUGCUCAUUUAGUUGACAUUUGGCUUGUAUUGUGAUUGUUGCUAUAAAAAUUGUUAAGUAUUAACUCUUUAAGGACACACUUUAUUUUUAAUAGGCCUUAGGCUAUUGGUCACUGAAAAAGUGAUUCCUAAUAGAGGGCUACUGCCUACCAAGGACGGAAUUUGUAAAAAUAUUGUUUGACAAUGUAGCUUUGAUGGGCCUAAAAUAUAUAAUGCUCUAAUUCAAAAGAAA